UACGAAGGGGGCUAGCGUUGUUCGGAAUCACUGGGCGUAAAGGGCGCGUAGGCGGCUUUAUAAGUCGGGGGUGAAAGCCUGUGGCUCAACCACAGAAUUGCCUUCGAUACUGUAGAGCUUGAGACCGGGAAGAGGUAAGUGGAACUGCGAGUGUAGAGGUGAAAUCGUAGAUAUUUCGCAAGAACACCAGUGGCGAAGGCGGCUUACUGGUCCGGUUCUGACGCUGAGGCGCGAAAGCGUGGGGAGCAAACAGG
rnacentral:rRNA from 1 species